GGGAAAGCUGUGGGGACUGGACAAUUGCAUGGAGUGGCAGCAGGUGCACCUAUUCUAGGUCCAUCAGGGUCGCGUCAAGGGUAAUGCUAGUUUAGAUAUCUUUUGCUUUUGACUAUGUAAAUUAUAAAACUUGAGAUGUAAUAUUAAUCCGUAAAUUUGAAUGUAUGUCUUUACUCUAAUGGUUUAAACUCUUAGUACCUA